CCGCCCUCCCGCACGAGUGCAGAAGGGAGGGGAGCCAGGCGAGGGGAGAGCCCGGGACCGCGGCGGGAAGGCGGAGGUAGAGGCGGGGCGGCUCCGCGGGCCCCGCCCACAAGCCCAGCCUCCUCCCUCCCCGCGGACCCUGGGCCUCGUAGGAGGGCGUACCCUACUCCAGGGACCUUUAGGAGCUUUCAGGAAUCUGGGCUACGGGACCGCCCACAUCUUCUCAUUUCCCUUCUUCUAAGAGACUCCAGUCUCUCCACAAGUCACCAUGCCAGAGAGAGGCAAUGGGAGCUACAUGAGGAGAAAGCAACAAGUGAUCCUGCAGGGCAUGAAGUCAGCCACGAAGUUCUGAAACAGGAAUGAGUGUCAUCCAAGAUUAUUCAGCAGAAUUCAGGAGUCCUGAUUUCCAGACGCAGAGGGAGAACACUUCUUUCUCAGGGAGCAGAACUGCCAACUAUGAAGAGACACAGGCUGCCCAACUGGGGCUCAUUUUAGGCCCUGACUCUUGGGGUGAAGUGGCAGUAGUUGAAGGAGCAUGAAUCCACAGGAAUGUUUUGCCAGUCUCUGAGUCUGGGAGUAGUACCCACCUGACCUGUUUACUGGGGGCAGAGUCCAGAGUGGGACAAGAGGGAGGGGACCACAACCUGUGAUCAGAGGGCAGCAGGGCUGCACAGGUCCUCCUGAGUGUAUUUGACACCAAGUGGGGUGGAGGUUAUGGAGAGGAGGCCACACAACAGGGACAGAAUCAGGCCAAUCCAGGCCUUGGAGUCAGCAUCUGUCCAAUGAGCCCAAGUAACAGGGAUUUCAGGAUAGGGCCUCCUAGGCUCACUUAGGGAGCCAGGCCUAGGUUUCACUGACACUUUCCUUCAUGCCUGCUUUCCUCAGGCAGUGCAGCAGAGCCCUGCGGGAGGCUGCGGGGAUAAAAGCCUCCAUCUGUGGUACUGCCCACCUCCCUGUUCACAGUAUCCUCUUCCCUAGGCCAUUCUCCCUCAUGGGGGAACCGGCAAGAGGCAAGCCAGAGGUGCUGCCUCACCGCCCACUGGCAGCAGCCCCAGGGAAGGAAGGGAGGGAAGGAGGGACAAGGAUCAGGCCUGGGAGGCCCAGGGUUUUCAGACCUAGGGGAUCUGGUCCCAGGGGGCGGGCCAGGUUGGCAGGGGAGCCCAGGUGCCCAGGUUCUAGGGGCGGAGCCUAAAGACUGGGAGGCGGAGCCCCAAAUGACAGAAGGCGGGACUCAGGAAAGCCGGUGGGGGCCAGGGCGGAGCCGGGCAAGACGCGGUCGUUGCGGUUCCCAGGCUUGCAGUGCAG
rnacentral:lncRNA from 10 species